GAUGAACGCUAGCGGCAGGCUUAACACAUGCAAGUCGAGGGGCAGCACGGGUAGCAAUACCUGGUGGCGACCGGCGCAAGGGUGCGUAACGCGUGAGCAACAUGCCCUAUACAGGGGGAUAAUCCAAGGAAACUUGGUCUAAUAUCCCAUAGUAUUUAGAGGAGGCAUCUUCUAUAAAUUAAAGCUUCGGUGGUAUAGGAUUGGCUCGCGUGACAUUAGCUAGAUGGUGAGGUAACGGCUCACCAUGGCAAUGAUGUCUAGGGGUUCUGAGAGGAAGGCCCCCCACACUGGGACUGAGACACGGCCCAGACUCCUACGGGAGGCAGCAGUGAGGAAUAUUGGACAAUGGAUGGAAAUCUGAUCCAGCCAUGCCGCGUGCAGGAAGACAGCCCUAUGGGUUGUAAACUGGCUUUUAUAUGGGAGCAAUAAGGUCUACGUGUAGACUGAUGAGGUACCAUAUGAAUAAGC
rnacentral:rRNA from 1 species